rnacentral:lncRNA from 1 species
AACGAGUGUUGCACGUUGGAAACCAGGGACGCCAUACUGUAGUAAUACAUGUUCUUAGCGGAGAGCUUCCAUUUGAAGUUAGGAAGUCGAAUAAACCGUUUUUACUACCCUGUUUAGCUGUUGUGGGACUGAUACGUCUUCAAACAAACAUUAGCGCUUUCCUACAACAAUGAUUAAGUUGACUGGAUUGAGUUUUCACUUACAGUAGUUACCGAGACUUGAGUAUCCUGAAAUAAAGUCACCAUUUAUGUUUUGUUUCAGAUACAUUUAACAACAAUUACUGUGCCAUCCUACCACGUCACAAGGAUCCGCAUGGACGCGGCUAGUAAAGUAAGAAGAAAUUUUCGUAGUUGCUGACGAGCAAGAUCAUAGUGAACCUUGAAUGUCAAUAUCUGUCAAUAUGAACCACAUUUGUCGAUAGAGUUGCACAAAUUACAUGGGAUAAUUGAUCGUUGCUAACCCUAUGCGAUAUCACCUCACAUUGUAUCAUGGACUUCGUCGAGUGAAGACCUACUCCUAAUAGCUCCGUGAAAUUACUUAAAAAUUUCCCAACCUAGACGAUAUUUAUAGCGAUCUGUAAGUUAUCAUUAUAUUGAAUGUAUGAUAUUUGAUAUUUUACAACUGUGAACACUAGAAAAACCAGAAUUCAUAGUACUGGUAGUAAACCUGAGCCUACUGAGCUCACUAAAGAUAAGCAUGUUGAAAUUUCCGCCAUACUUGUGGACACGUCACUUUUGAUACGUCACUGAAUGCCUUGCAUGACGAACUACGUAGCUUUGCAGCUGACAUUAAUGAGGGAAUAGCAUUGCUAAAACAAGGCCAGCAUGCACUAUUAAAUAGAAUUAUAUUAUUUCAAAAUGCAUUUCUUACAUUCUUUAUUCAUUGAGCUAUUUUUAUUGUAUAUGAUAGUACAUACUUAUUAAAUUAUGCAAGAUGUUAUAUGGUAUUCAUAUAUAUAUUCUAGUAUUAUUAUUUUCAUUAUCUUGUUAUUGUAUUCCUUUUCUUAUAAUAGCGCAAAUAUUGUAUGUUAAAUAUCUUAAAAAUUAUGUGAUAAAUGUCAAAUAAUGAGUAUAUAAAUCUACCUUUUCACGGGGUAGGCUAUUCUAAUGAAUUAUUUGAUGUUUCAUUGAAAUCUCCUGAAAUGUAUAAUCCUGUUUUUAACCCAUUAUUAGAUGAUGACUUCAAAUUUGAUGAACAAUCUGAAAUGCUAGUUAAUCACCUUAACUUUAGAUCAUCCACACUUGAUUUGUGCAAAUACUUUGAUAUUAAUCAAUUUAACCAACUUAUAAAGAAUAAAAGCACUAAUCAAGUAUCAAUUUUUCACCUCAAUGUUAGGAGUGUGUCAAAUAAACAUGACAGAUUGGAAGAGCUUUUUAAUUACAUCAACCUCAAAUUUUCUAUCAUUGGUCUCUCUGAGACAUGGUUAAACGACCAAAAAAUAAUCAAUUUUUAGAAGGAUAUAAUUUUUUAUCUUGUAAUCGUAUUGGUCGAAGGAGGGUUCGGAUUAUUCGUUAAAAAUGAAAUUAAUUUCAAGUUAAGACAUGAUUUACUUUUGCCAAAAGAAAUAUGUGAUUCCCUCUUUAUUUAAAUUCUUAACAAAAGGAAAAAGAAUAAUAUCAUUGGCAUUAUCUAUAAAUCGCCGGAUUAAAAUAUUGACAAUUUUACUGCCAUAAUAAAUGAACUGCUUUUAAAGUUAAAUUAUGAAAAUAAAUUGUAUAAUAUUAUGGAAGACUUCAAUAUAGAUCUAAUCAAGUUUCAUAAUCAAAAUUUUAUAAAUAAUUAUUUAUAUCUAAACCGACGAGAAUUACAAAAAAUAAUGCAACUCUUAUUGAUCAUUUUUACACUAACCAUAUUAAUUCUGAAAUUGUAUCAGGUGUUAUCAUUUCUGAUCAUUUACCUAUUUUUCAAAUAAUUUAUUAUGAUUUAAAUAUAAAUAAUGAUACUUUUAAUUACUCGUAUUCUAUUAAGGAUAUAGGAGCAUUUAGCCAAGAUCUCUCUCAAUCAGAUUGGUUUAAACUUUAUCAUUCUAAUUCAUCUUUUGAUUCAUUUAUAGACAUAUUUUCUACCGUACAACAAAAACUUCUAUUUACUAAAGAAAAAACCCUAAAUAAAACAAAAUGUAAACACCCAUGGAUGACACCCUCUCUUCUAAAAUGUAGUAAACGUAAACAUAAGCUUUAUAAAACAUUUAUUAAUUCCCAAAACAGUCAAGAUAAUGUAAAUUACAACAAAUAUAACAACAUCUUUACCGCUCUUUGUCGAAUGUCAAAAAAGAAGUACUAUUAAACAAAAUUUAAUCAAAUUAAAUCUAAUAUUAAGAAGGUAUGGGAAGUAAUUAAUUCUGUAAUAAACCCUGGUUAAAAAAAAUUUAAAAAAUACCUAAUGUUGUAAAAAUUUAACAAGAGUAUACUUACAAUAUAAAUGCUAUUUGCCGUUACUUUAAUGACUUCUUUUCAGAAAUCGGAAAACUGCAUGUAAUUCAAUACCUAAUAACAUUGAUCCACUUUCAUAUUUACCAUUUCCCCCCCAAAAUUCAUUUUUUUUAUUAUUUCCAGUUUCUGAAUCGGAAGUAUUAAAUAUAAUCAACGAUUUCGAUUCUAAUAAAGGGUCGGGGCAUGACUCUCUCACACCCUUUGUUCUUAAAAAAAAUUGCUUCUUCAAUUUUAAGCCACCUUACACACGCAAUUAAUUUAUCUUUUACAACAGGUUCUGUACCUGACUAUUUAAAGAUAGCUAAAGUUAUUCCUGCAUUUAAAAAAGGUGACUCACAUUUACUAAAUAACUACCAAUCUCCAUUCUACCCAUAUUUUCAAAAAUAACUGAGAAAUUAUUGCAUACUCGUCUUUAUAAUUAUUUUAUUGAAAAUCAUUUACUUAAUAACCAUCAAUACGGGAUUGGCAAACAUCAUACCACCACACAUGCCGUUUUAGAACUCAUGAAUUCUGUUAAUAAUGCGUUUGAAAAUAAUGAAUUUUUAUUGAGUACAUUCCUCGAUUUGUCAAAAGCUUUUGAUCUUGUCAACCAUGAUAUUUUAAUUUCUAAACUUUUUCGUUAUGGCAUUAGAGGGGUCUCAUUAGACUGGUUUACAAGUUAUCUUAAUAAUAGAAAGCAAUAUGUUCAAAUUGGUAACUGUAAGUCGACAGCAAGAAGUAUUUUGUGUGGUGUACCACAUGGGUCCGUCUUAGGACCCUUAUUAUUUCUUAUUUACGUUAAUGACUUACCAUUGGCUAGUGAUAUUUUACACACUGUUUCCUUUGCCGAUGAUACUACCAUAUUAUAUUCUAAUAACUAGAAAUUGCAAAUUGCAAGUGAAGUGCUGCGAAGUACAACUGCAUAUAAAUGUUCUUCGAACAAAAUUAUUUAUGCGAGUCAAGUGAAAAUAAUG